rnacentral:rRNA from 1 species
AUGGCCAAGUCUGGUGCCCGUAAGGAGGCGGCACCAGUCCGGUCAUCGGCGACCUCUCCGCCGCAGCAGCACAUCCCCGGCGCCCCGGCAAGCUCGUGCGCCAACCGCUGGCCACAGCAACUCUUCUACCCCGGCGCUCCGACGAGCUCGUCCGCCAGCCCCUCCACACCACCGUACAUGAGGCCAAUGUACACCCCUGCACCUGAAGACUUGCUAAGUUUUGGACAAUUCCUUCCAAUGCAUAAUUAUAAUUUUCAACCUCCGCAAGUGCAGCAUCCUGUACAAGGGCACCAAAAUAUGGAUACCAAUCAACCGGCUGAUGGUUCCGAUGAUGAAGCUGAAGCAAGUAUCAUUGAUCCUUCCUCCCUCUACACACUAGAUCACUACCUUGUCCAGAUGGACAUGUUAGACUCAUUCGCCAAGGAGAUCGCAUUAGAAGUGAAGGAAAGCCUUGACGCUUAA